rnacentral:rRNA from 2 species
CCGGCCCGUAGAGGGUAUANGUGUAGGGGGUAUAGACUCCCCCUGUGCCGUCGCAAACGCAAUAAGUACCCCGCCUGGGGAGUACGGUCGCAAGACUAAAACUCAAAGGAAUUGACGGGGGCCCGCACAAGCAGCGGAGCAUGUGGUUUAAUUCGAGGCAACGCGAAGAACCUUACCUGGACUUGACAUCUCCUGAAUUACCCUUAAUCGGGGAAGCCCUUCGGGGCAGGAAGACAGGUGGUGCAUGGUUGUCGUCAGCUCGUGUCGUGAGAUGUUGGGUUAAGCCCCGCAACGAGCGCAACCCCUAUUGUCAGUUGCUACCAUUCAGUUGAGCACUCUGGCAAGACUGCCCGGGUUAACCGGGAGGAAGGUGGGGAUGACGUCAAAUCAUCAUGCCCCUUACGUCCAGGGCUACACACGUGCUACAAUGGCAGGUACAAAGAGCAGCGAACUCGCGAGAGCCAGCCAAUCUCAUAAAACCUGCCCCAGUUCAGAUUGCAGGCUGCAACUCGCCUGCAUGAAGUCGGAGUUGCUAGUAAUCGCGAAUCAGCAUGUCGCGGUGAAUACGUUCCCGGGCCUUGUACACACCGCCCGUCACACCAUGAGAGUUGGCAAUACCCGAAGUCCGUGAGGCAACUUUUUAAGAGCCAGCGGCCGAAGGUAGGGUCAGCGAUUAGGGUGAAG